AUUGAACGCUGGCGGCAGGCCUAACACAUGCAAGUCGAGCGGAUGAAGGGAGCUUGCUCCUGGAUUCAGCGGCGGACGGGUGAGUAAUGCCUAGGAAUCUGCCUGGUAGUGGGGGAUAACGUCCGGAAACGGGCGCUAAUACCGCAUACGUCCUGAGGGAGAAAGUGGGGGAUCUUCGGACCUCACGCUAUCAGAUGAGCCUAGGUCGGAUUAGCUAGUUGGUGGGGUAAAGGCCUACCAAGGCGACGAUCCGUAACUGGUCUGAGAGGAUGAUCAGUCACUCUAGAAGAGACACACUGCCGAGUCCUCUACGAGGGGCCGGAGUGGGAAAUAGUGCACUAGGGGCGAACAUCUGAUACCGACGUGACGCGUGUGAAGAAGGUCUUCGGAUUGUAAAGCACUUUAAGUUGGGAGGAAGGGCAGUAAGUUAAUACCUUGCUGUUUUGACGUUACCAACAGAAUAAGCACCGGCUAACUUCGUG
rnacentral:rRNA from 1 species